UUCGUGCAGGAACAGAGAGUUUGAUCAAACAAGCCAGGGAGAUCGGGGAGGCGGAGCUCCAGAAGUUCUACAGUAGGAUCACCAAGCAGCUGACGGGUAAAGAAUACGGCCAUGAUGUCAUCGACUCACUCCAGAGACUACACCUCAUACUGGCCUCUACCAAGUGCACUAGGAGGCUGCCAGUGGAGCUGCAUCGGCAUCUACUGUCGCUUUGUGUGUCUUCCUCUGUGGAGCAGCUGAUUGUGUUGACCUCAGCAGUACUCAGAGAAACACUGCCCCCCUCUGGCCCAGGGCAGAACUACACCCUACAUGACUACAGCCCUUUAACCAGUCAAACUGCUGCUUUAGUGCUGUCACAGGCGGGGUCUAAAGAAGACCUGUCAGCGCUCUCCUCUCUC